rnacentral:lncRNA from 1 species
AGGGCAAGGCCCUCGGCAGCACAGCAGCUGACAGUACACGCCUGACAUUUUGGGCAGGAGACUUGGUGGGUCCCAUGUGCUCCGCAGAUCUCCCGUUGGCUCUAGCCUCUGAUGACGUAAUCUUCUACUUUAACACCUCACCACCUCGGAUGUGAGAGUACCGUUCCUCUAGUCAUUGCUCUAUAGAUUAACAUUUAACACUGCUGUGACUGAUUGCUCAAAGGACAUUUUAUGUUAUGGCUUUAAAGCAGAGGCAUGAUUAUUAGAAAUGACUUAAGCUCUUUUCUUUGAAAAACAAGCUCCUUUUGCAGACGAAGCAAACAGUAGUGCCUGUGGUUUAGCCCGCCAAUCUUGACGACUCAAAGUAGCUGAUGCAUUGUGCAUAUGAUGCUUGAGAUGGUUUUGCAGAUGCAGACAUCGCUGCAAGGUCAUUCUAAUAGAGACAAGCGGUAUUUUAAACCUUUGAAAGGAAUGGAUGUAACUGUACGUUGGUACAGCUUUUCACUUGUUUAGUUUUUAAACGUUAGUAUAAUCUGAAUAAAGUUAAUAUAAACUGUUGCCAAAUUCAAUGUAGAAAGAAUGUGACAAACACCUUGGGUAGUUCUGUUUGUGUUUUUGCAUAUUGUAAAAGCAGUGUCACAGCUGAAAAUGAACCCUUUCUAAAGGUAAAUUAUUGUGAUUUAGUUGCUAGUUUGUAUUGAGAGUUGACCUCUCCCUGUGCAGUUUUUGUUUGGAACUUGUAUAGAUAACAGCGUGUAAUGUGUCCCCUUCUACACUGUAACAGUUGCUUCUGCCUACCUUAUAAAUAAAGAAUCACU